UUAGUUAAGUGAAGAAGGGCGCACGGUGGAUGCCUUGGCACUAGGAGCCGAUGAAGGACGGGACUAACACCGAUAUGCUUCGGGGAGCUGUAAGUAAGCUUUGAUCCGAAGAUUUCCGAAUGGGGGAACCCGCUAUCCGUUAUUGGAUAGUACGUAUUACUGAAUACAUAGG
rnacentral:rRNA from 1 species